AAGCGAGCGUAUCUCGAGAGCUCCGUUAAAUUACGCUUCUCUGCGUGCAAGUGCUUCAUCCUCGGAUCGAGAUCGUUCGGCUCUUCUCUCGGGACUUUCGGACCCCGCCCCAUCAGCAGCGAAUAUGUCCAGCUCCGGAGACGUCUGCCUCGAAGGCAAGCCCGAGUGCUGCAAUGAGACCGGCGAGGUGAAGAACGAGGCCGAGCCCAAGGCCGAGGCAGCUGCCGCCGAGGUGCCAGAGGCGGCGCCGGCUCCGGCUGGCGGUGAGAGUGCCGCCCCGGCCGACGCAGUGCCGCAGGAUGGCGCCAGCUCGUAGCCGCCCGCCGCGGGCAAAGCUCACCGCCUCUGCCGCUCACUGCCGCUGCGUAGACCCCCGCCGGCAACCGCCUCGAUCGAUCACCGAGACCGCCGCGGGUCCUGCCGUUCGGUCUUUCCUGGUCACCUGAAAACUCUCCGCCUUGCUUUACCUGAAGCAUUGCACCGGUGAAGGGAUGCCCUCACGGGUCCACCGAGAUUCCAACGGGAGCAACCCCUGUUCAAGGAAGAUACGAGACGGGCACUGCGAUUAUGCCCGCAUAGACACCAUUCCUACCUUCGCGUGUUCCAAAGCGGAACCUGCACGACCGAAACUGGCCAGCCCUCGCCCCACGAUUGAUUCACCUGUAUGAAGACGUUAUUCCUUUUGCAUGCUGGCCAAAAUUGGCACUGUUGACUACAGCAAGUGAAGGGCCAGCUACCAUUUCAGUACUUUCCGCAGUAAACCGAAACCAUCCAAGACACCGGAAGGGUUGACUCGGCAGGAGAGGGGGUUGAAUAACAACGAAGCUAAAGGCAGCGCGCGGGAGUUGCGGAGCGGUGCAAGCGCCAGUCAGAGUUGAUUCCUAAGAGAUAAAAAAAAAGUGAAACAAAAAUGCGCGGAGCGCCCACUUAUCCUAUAUGCUAUAUAUUUAUGUAAUGAAAGCAUUCAGCACUUUUAUACACAGCUGACUACAAAAAAAUACAAAAAACAUAAAAAGAGAGAAAGCAGAAGAUAGAGGCGGUGCGCCCUCUUCUUUUUGUACAUUUCUCGAAAUAAAAUAAAAAUAAACCUAGAAAAGUUCUCA